AGAGAGAGACAUGCGCGCAUAUCAAUAAGCGGAGGAAAAGAAACUAACUAGGAUUCCCUCAGUAACGGCGAGUGAAGCGGGAAGAGCUCAAAUUUGAAAUCUUCAAGGUUCUACCUUGACGAAUUGUAGUUUAAAGAAGUGUUUUCUGUUGGAGUUUUGGUAAAAGUUCUUUGGAAUAGGACAUCAUAGAGGGUGAGAAUCCCGUAUCUGACCAUUAUUUCCAACUUUGUGAUACACUUUCAAAGAGUCGGAUUGUUUGGGAAUGCAGUCCAAAAUGGGUGGUAAAUUUCAUCUAAAGCUAAAUACUGGCGAGAGACCGAUAGCGAACAAGUACCGUGAGGGAAAGAUGAAAAGAACUUUGAAAAGAGAGUUAAACAGUACGUGAAAUUGUCAAAAGGGAAGCGUUUGACACCAGUGUUGUUUUCUCGAAAAUCAAUUAAAAACGGCCGGAUUUUGUGUUGUAUUGACUUUAUCAGCUUUCUGCACUUUUUUCUUGUCUUUUUUAAUGCACUUUUCGUUUAACAAGUCAACAUCAAUUUCUUUUGUUGUAAAAGAGUCAUUGGAAGGUGGCUUUCAUUUCGGUGAAAGUGUUUAUAGCCUUUGACUUCUGCAAUCGGAGAGAUUGAGGUCUGCAGCGUAGAUCCUUCGGGGUUAGAUACAUUUGUGCUAAGUUAUAGUUUUUCAUAGACAACAUGUUGACUAUGAUUAAUCAUGUAGCUUACUCGCUUAUGCUAUUUUACCUACGCUUAGGAUGUUGAUCUGUAGUGCGUGCGC
rnacentral:rRNA from 1 species